ACGGACUUAAUAAAGCUUGCUUUAAAAAGUUAGUGGCGAACGGGUGAGUAACACGUGGGUAACCUGCCCUUUAGACGGGGACAACAUUCCGAAAGGAGUGCUAAUACCGGAUAAGCUCUUUUACUCGCAUGAGUGAAGGAAGAAAGGUGGCCUCUAUUUAUAAGCUACCGCUAAAGGAUGGGCCUGCGUCUGAUUAGCUAGUUGGAGUGGUAACGGCACACCAAGGCUUCGAUCAGUAGCCGGUCUGAGAGGAUGAACGGCCACACUGGGACUGAGACACGGCCCAGACUCCUACGGGAGGCAGCAGUGGGGAAUUUUCCGCAAUGGACGAAAGUCUGACGGAGCAACGCCGCGUGAGUGAAGAAGGCCUUCGGGUCGUAAAGCUCUUUUGUCAGGGACGAACGUGCAGGUUGUAAAUAAUGACUUGUAAUGACGGUACCUGAAGAAAAAGCCACGGCUAACUACGUGCCAGCAGCCGCGGUAAUACGUAGGUGGCAAGCGUUGUCCGGAAUUAUUGGGCGUAAAGCGCGCGUAGGCGGAAAAAUAAGUCUGUUGCUAAAAUGCGGGGCUUAACCCCGUAGUGCAAUGGAAACUGUUUUUCUUGAGUGCAGGAGAGGAAAGGGGAAUUCCCAGUGUAGCGGUGAAAUGCGUAGAUAUUGGGAGGAACACCAGUGGCGAAG
rnacentral:rRNA from 1 species